AUUGAACGCUGGCGGUAUGCUUAACACAUGCAAGUCGAACGGUAACAGGCCUUCGGGCGCUGACGAGUGGCGGACGGUGAGUAGCGCGUAGGAAUCUGCCUCAUAGUGGGGGACAACGUGGGGAAACUCACGCUAAUACCGCAUACGCCCUACGGGGAAAGCGGGGGAUCUUCGGACCUCGCGCUAUGAGAUGAGCCUGCGUUAGAUUAGCUAGUUGGUAGGGUAAAGGCCUACCAAGGCGACGAUCUAUAGCUGGUCUGAGAGGACGAUCAGCCACACUGGGACUGAGACACGGCCCAGACUCCUACGGGAGGCAGCAGUGGGGAAUAUUGGACAAUGGGCGCAAGCCUGAUCCAGCAAUACCGCGUGUGUGAAGAAGGCCUUAGGGUUGUAAAGCACUUUCAAUUGGGAGGAAAACCUGCCGGUCAAUGCCCGGUAGCUUGACAUUACCUUUAGAAGAAGCACCGGCUAACUCCGUGCCAGCAGCCGCGGUAAU
rnacentral:rRNA from 1 species